GGCAAAGGAGAAGCGAACCUGCAGCGGGAAGGACGAGGCUCCUGCCGCUCAUCCCUCACCUGCGCAGGGAGGGAUAUUUGUGCUCCUUCUGGAACUGCUGCUCAUCUGUUUCUACAUUCCCCCUCCAUCCGAGCUGCCAGCCUGCCCUGCCGUGAGUGAGUGCCGGGAUGCAGGCGCUGUGCCCGGGAGCAGACCCAGCUCUCCGCCCUCGGCGGCGCCGCAGCCGAUGCGCUCCCACAUCCAUCCCCUCGCCCCCUGGAACCAGCACUUGUCCCUCACUGCUGCUGUUACUGCCCUCUCUUUCUCCAUUGCAUGUGCUCUACUGUCUUCACAAGACCCAGGCAGAC